rnacentral:rRNA from 1 species
GAUGAACGCUGGCGGCGUGCCUAAUACAUGCAAGUCGAGCGAACAGACGAGGAGCUUGCUCCUUUGACGUUAGCGGCGGACGGGUGAGUAACACGUAGGUAACCUACCUAUAAGACUGGGAUAACUUCGGGAAACCGGAGCUAAUACCGGAUAAUAUUUCGAAUCGCAUGGUUCGAUAGUGAAAGAUGGCUUUGCUAUCACUUAUAGAUGGACCUGCGCCGUAUUAGCUAGUUGGUAAGGUAACGGCUUACCAAGGCAACGAUACGUAGCCGACCUGAGAGGGUGAUCGGCCACACUGGAACUGAGACACGGUCCAGACUCCUACGGGAGGCAGCAGUAGGGAAUCUUCCGCAAUGGGCGAAAGCCUGACGGAGCAACGCCGCGUGAGUGAUGAAGGUCUUCGGAUCGUAAAACUCUGUUAUUAGGGAAGAACAAACGUGUAAGUAACUGUGCACGUCUUGACGGUACCUAAUCAGAAAGCCACGGCUAACUACGUG